rnacentral:rRNA from 1 species
CCCUUGUACACAACCGCCCGGUCACGCCAUGGAAUUGGGGGGACCUGAAGCCGGUGGGCCUAACCCCGCGAAGGGGAGGCAGGCCCGUACAAAAGGUCAAUCCAAUGACUGGGGCG